rnacentral:lncRNA from 1 species
CAAAAAUUAAAAUGAUUCAAAGAAAAACAAUGCAAGGGAAAAAAAACUAUAAUAAUAUUUAAAUAUAGCAGAACUCAACCAAAGCAAAACUGAGAAGUACUUAAACAUUUUUCCAUAUAAUUAAAAAAAAUAUCUCAGGCAUUAACAAGACAUCAGAGGAUGUGAUUUGUUUUAGAAAGAUUUUCAAAACUAAUAUUGAACAAAUAGUGGUCUGGAAAAAAAAUUCUAAUUAGCUAGUAGACUCUACAUAGGCCAAAUUUUUUUAAAUUUAAAUCUCAAUACAGUCAUGUGACAGGUGAUGGAAAUAUAAUCUGAGAAAUAUGUUAUUACACACUUUCAUCCGUGUGUAUCGCAAAGUACCACACAGAGUGCCAACUUCUAAGCGCAAACUGAGAAGGUAUACGUCAAUCAUCUGUGAUGGCCCCUUGAUAUUAUCUGAAUACGCAGUUAAACAUGAGAUACAUGAAGCUACCCCUGGCAUAGCAGCACACGGUUUUACAGUAAACUCUUAUAUAAGUAGGAUUAUGCUCUAAAGGAUGAAAAGCACAGCAUGUUAUGAUGAGUACCUAAAACAGUAACAGUCAUUUAUCACACCAUCGAGUACUGUGUGCUGUACAUAGUUGUAUGUGCUUCUUCUGGAAACACACUCCUCUCCUUUGAUCUCAGUGACUCUUCCUUCCCAACCCACUGAUGAACUCCAGCCUAGUCUCUAUCUGCAUCUCUUCCCAAGAGAAUCUUAAUAUGAUAUAAAUUAACAAAAAUAUUCACAGCAUUAGUUACUCAAACAUCAUUUCCAAAAACAAAGACACUCUGUUAUGUGAUGCUUUUUUGACUGUAGUCCAAACAAUGUCUCAUCCAUUAGACAUUAUCAUUUCUUUUACCAUAGUUAUUGGAAGAUGACUGUUUUUAUUGUGAAAUUAUUCCUACCCCUACACUUUUUUCCUUACCUUUGGCGCCCCAGAAAUGUUUCUGCUGAAAAAUUAAAACAGAUGCCUAAUACGUUAUAUGCUAUGGGCUGUGAAAUCAGGAUACUUCAUAAUUAGCUUCAAGAUGAUACAAGGGUGAUGAGUGUUAAUGUUGGUUCAAGCGCACGUUUAUAACUUCUAGGAAUAUAUGGCCAUAAUUCUGCAGGAGAAACAGUUGGUCAGUGGUCACAAGCUUGCAAAAACCUACUGCCAGAGCUGAAGCCUCUAAAAGAACACUGAAAUGAAAAGAGCAUGUUGGAGCCCUGCUAUGCUUCUGGUUCCUGGCCAGCCCCUGUCCACAGGAGCCCUCCAACCUCAGGACUGACAGAGAGGCACAAAAAUGCAGUACUGACCACCGCACUGGCACAGCCAGGCUUGACGACACCCACAGACUCCACAUUCACUGGUAUUGCUGCCAGUAGCAUCACUGCUCAGGGUUCCACCCCUGCAGACACCACGGAAAGAACCAGAAUAGAAUGAAGCUACCAUCUAGGAGCCCCAAGAUUUGGGGGGAAAGAAGUGGCAGGAACCGUGACGGGGAGAGAGAGAGAGAGACCUGAAAGGGGUAAGGAAGGCCUGGCAGGAGGAGGCCUCAGAACCUGCUCUCUGCUUCGGUCUCCGCAUUGAUACACUACAAGUGGAUCAUCCGAUAGCAGGGGUGACAGUGACCAACACCGAAAUAGCUCAGACACGCAGUUAGCCUUCACUCAGGACAUUUCUCUUCCCUUCUCCCAUCAAGGAGCGCCUGCCCCAAAUUUAAACCUAUCCAUGAAACGAGGAUGCCUGGAAGAAGCUUCACGUGAACUACAAGCCCACGGCCGCUACAGACUCCUGGGGGAACUGUGACAGCUCCCUCAUUAACUGGGUGGAGGCACCAAGCUCCACGCAUGAAUCUGACGGCUGUCACUUUGCACCUUCCUAAUUUAUGCUUCCCUGGGGAGAUGGAAAUGACACAAGGUUAGGAAGAAAGCUCUUCCUCAGUUUCCAAAGGCGGACAGCUGCCAGCUUCCUCAGGUAAAAGGUGAGCACUGCUGCCCAGGCCUGCAGCCCACUCUGCAUCUGCAAGUGACAGACUUCAUGUAGAACUGGAUGUGGGCAAAUGAAUAACAGACCAGAAAAUCAGUCCCCGAGCAGGACGUGGACAUCGCCCUGUCUGUGCAGAGAGAGGCGAGCGAGGAGGAACCGGGUGAGGGGCCUUGGAGCUCAGUGCACACGGCAGACAGACAGACAGACAUACACCCACAUGCCCGGCCCCUCGUGAGUUCCACCACAGUGAAAACACGCUCUGCUGCACAAAUAGCAAAGAGUAACAGCUCUCACUACCUCACACCUUCCAAUCACAUUUCCCAGAAAUGUCUGUUAACAGGAAACACAAACCCUUCUCAGAACGUCUCCCACGUGUAGAUAAAUACGCAUCUGUCUAUAUUCUUCAGUCUUAGUUUUUACAGAAAUGGGCCAGUUCUAUACAAACAGUACUCUGACAGGUCCUAACAGAUGAAAGAUAACAUUUGCACUUAGCAAAUAUAAAUAUAUGUCACUGAAUUGUUUAAUUUUUUCGUUUAGUUUUCAUUUUGAGACAACCUUGCACUUACAAAUUAAGAGUUCAAAAAACCCCACAGAAUUCCUGUAUAGCUUUGUGAAUUCUCAAAUGUUGGUCUUUUAUAUUACCACAGAACAAUUAUCUGGUGGUAUCAGGAAGUUCACUUUAGUAGAAUACUACUUCUUAGUUAUGAGAUUCAUUCAAAUUUCACCAAUAAUGUCUUCUUCCAAUACAGGAUGCAAGUCAGAGUCACAUGCUGCAUUAGUUGUUAUGGCCCCUAGUCUUCGUAACUCUGUAACACUUCUUCAGUUUUUAUUUAUCCUCUGACCAGGUAUUUGGUAGAAUAUCCCUCAAUUUAGGAUUAUCUGGUGUCUUCUCCUUAUUAAAUCCAGAUAAUACAAGUAUACCACAGAUGCCAUGGCUGACUCCAGGUCUGGGACAGACUUGCUACACGGUGAGACUUAGACAAAACACAAGGCAGAAUUCAAAAAGGAACAGAGAAAUCUCAAAAUCCGGGCCGCAGAACCAAAUUGGAAGGGCAUACUAGUGGCUGCAUUUUUGAAAAUCUAAGCAACAAAAUAACUGUAGUCACGGAUUGUAACCAAAACAAUAAGAAUCCAGGAGUCCAUGCCGAUGAAAAUAAUUAAUGUUUUCUAAUGGGAAAGAAAGGAAAAUUCUUCCUUUCAGUAGACUUCUCACUGACAAAUACGGAGGUAGUGAUGGAAAAAGAAACUCAAUUUGGCAAACAUCAGAGUAAUAACUGUUUCAGACAAGAAUGGAUAUUAAAAUGAGCUCGGUGCAAGUGCAAUGAGAAAGGUGAUGUUUUGCAAUGCCAAAGUGUCUCCCGACAGGAUAUUUACAAUGUGAGAAGUAAGAACCUCCUAGCAGAGAGACCUGGCAGGGGCUGCUUUAAUCAACCUGGGGAGACAAACCCGCCGCAGGUGCCCGCUGGCUGGUGCAGGGAGAGGCAUGCAGCAGCUCCCGCUUCUGCGACGCUGCAAACUGUGCUGCGGAUCCGCGAGGCUCUGGUGCUUGAGGACGGGGGUGCACACCCGUGCUCCCAAGCACGCUCCUGGCAGUGGCAGUGCAGGGCAGGGCACACUCACUGUACACACACAGCGGUCCAGGCGCUCACAGCAGCACACAGCCCUGCCCGCGGCACACAGGACACCACACCUGCCGGCGCCAGGAAGCCAGGUGUGGCGCUGUUGGCAUCUGGGCAGGCACAAUGGGCCCAGCGGGAGCCAGGUGAGCCGGAAUGCUGGCUGUGGCUGGGCACAGAGGGAUUUUCUGGGGUUAAAGAGGCCGGCACCAGGGAGAAGACAGGACUCCAUCGUGCUGGCAGGACGCUAUUUCUGAGCCUGCUGUUUUGAAACGACUCCAGGGCUCGUACUUGUGGGACCUCUGGCUUACAGCCCCUUGAAAGUGAAAACCACACAGACGCAAAAGUGAGGCUCCCAGUCCAACUUGUUAAUGAUGAUUACCAACCUCAGUGCUGAGGUCCUUUUCUCAACCUGGAAAAAGGCACGGCUGUCUUUACAAUAACGGAGUGGAAGCUCAGAGGGGGGUGACGCAGCCAAGGUGGCACAGGCAGGAGGAGAGCCAGGCUUUUGGAAGCCUUCCCCAGCAUUACUCUGGACAGCAAGGUCUCCCAGCUGAGGCCUUCGGCUCUGGUUACUUUACUUUGUCUCUGCAGCUGCCUGAUGAAAAUAGAUUUUCUGGACUCCCCAUGGGCUGGUGGGACUGGAGGCCCCUGCACCCGGCGACCUUCGCUAUGCUUCAGCUGCAGCCCCUGGACAGUCAGCAGGUGAGGCAGGGAGGGAGGGAGGGAGGGAGCUCUGGGGGGGAAGAAAGGUGGAGGAGGUGGAGAAGUCGUGGCACCCGGCCGAGCCCUCCCUCUUUGCUCACCCAGUAAGCAAUGUCUAGCCCUGAUCAUCUACUGCACACAAGCUGGCCCAGUCGCACGCACCUGCCUGAAAAACUAAUCUAGGGCCCAGCUGUGCAGGGCAGUGCACACCUGGAAUCCCAGCACUCUGGAAGGUUGACAGAGAAGGACUGAAAGUUCAAGCCCACGCUCUCGAUACCUUUGCUGCCUUGUGUGCACCAUGCUGUUUCUCCUCUGCGAUGCCUGUUUGCCAUCCCAGCCUCAGGGCCAGCUGAUGAUGGACCAAAACCUCUACGAACCGUGAGCCAAAUAAACCCCUUCCCUCUAACUCUGGGUGUCAGGUAUUUUUGUCUCAGCGAGGAGAGAAAAGUAACUAACACACUCAUCCGUCCAUCCAUCCACUGAUGGACACUGUUUCCAUUUUUUGGUCAUUAAUUUUGCUGUUAGGAACUUUUGCGCACAAGUUGUGCUGACCUAUUUCUGUAUUUCUUGAGUCUAUACCUAGGAGUGGAAUUUGCAUUUUUAAUUGUUUACUUUCUAAACCAGGUUGGUGACCUAGAAGGGUUUAUCUUUUCCUCCCUUGAUCUCUCUCUCUGCUUCCUGUACCAUGAGAAAUUCUCUGCCAUGCUGCCCUGCCUGGGAGCCAGCCUGGACUGAAACCUCUACAAACUGUAAAUCAAAAUAAACCUCUCCUCCUUUAAAUAAAAAAAAGAAAAGAAAGUUCAAGCCCAGCCUGAGCAACUUAACAAGACCUGGCAUGAAGUAAAAAAGAAAGAAGCUGGGGGAGGCCCUUCAAUCUCUAGCACAGAGAAAGAAAAGAAAGAAAAGAAAAAAAAAAAAAAGGAGGGAGGCAGGCAGGCAAAUAAUACUGACCUGUGUACAAAAGACACAAUGACAGUUUGGCACCCACAGGACAGGGUUCAGGAAGGCCUCGGGGAUAAUGCUGUCUAAAGUGACCCUCACACUAAAUGCCCACCAGAACCCUCUCAAGCUACAUGGGCAAGAGCAAGGCCGGCCCUGCAGAGGGAAAACAGCCCACAGCUACUGAACACAUGCUUAGUAAUCUCAUUUACUCUCCCAAAUGAUUUUGUAGAUAGGCUUUGUCUCCGCUUAGAAAACAGGGGCAGAGAGGGCAAUUAACUUGCCAAGUCAUCCAUCUACAAAUUUUAACAAGAAAAAGGGGAGGAGGCUUUUAAAAAGUGAGAAUAGAAAAAAGGUAUACUUGGAAGUCAAGUGAUAUUCUAGCCACCGCAGUAGGUUUUAAGUUUUCACUGAUUCCCAAGCACCAAGGGAACCUAGCUGCUAACAGCAGACGGAGCCUGAGUGGACUGAACUGUGUCUUCUCCCACAUCCGUACGCUCAGGUCCCAACUCCCAUGCAACUCCUGGACACGGGCCCUCCCGAGGGUCACGUGGUUAAGUGGGGACCUGGGGUCUCAAUCUGUCAGGGUAGAGACACAGCAAGAGGCAGACGGCGACAAGGCAAGAAGAGAACCCCCACCAGAAAGCCAGCCAGCCACGCCCUGGACUUCCCAGCAGGCAGAGCUGAGAAAAUCACUGGCUGCUGCAGACACCCAGCCCAUGAUACUGGGUCAGGGCAGCCAGAGCACAAGAACACGGAGCUGCUCAGAAGCCAGGCCCGGCUGUUUCCUCCUCUAAGUAGGUCCUCAGCACAGAGCCCUCAGAUGUGCUAAUCUGCUUAUCAUUUAUAUAUAUGGAUGCUUGCAUUAUCUUAAAACAUGAAAAAAAGAAAGACAUUUUGCAGAAAAGAAAUAAACAGAAAUAGAAGUUUUGGCAUGUUCUUCUCCCUGCUGCAGGCCAACCAUCCCGGCACCUGCAAAUGUAACCUCAGAAACAGGAUCUUGUGACUGCAGUCAGGGUUAGCUGCGUUCAUGUUGGAUAAAGGAGUCCUGAUUCCUACACGAAGAGGGAUUCUGCACAGGGACACACAGGAGAGAAGGCCAUAUGACGAUGGGCAGAGAGCGGAGUGUGGCAGCCAUAAACUCGGGGGCACCAAGGGCUGCCCCAGGCCACCAGAAGGAUGAGAGCGGAAGAGCAGAUCCUUCCCAAGCAUCUCUGGCGGGAACGGUCUUAAGGACACUUCACCAUCAGACUUCUGGCCUCCACUCCACCUGAGAGAGAAUGCAGAAUACAUCUGUAUGGUUUGGGGGAACCUGGUUGGCAGCCCCAGAAAAGGAGCACAUCCACACACCCCACUGAAUGAGAAUGAGGAACACGUAAGAAAAAUGUAACCCAUGCACAAAAGCCAGCUGCUAAACAUCUGAUCACCCUCAUGGUCAUGAUCACAAGAACUCCUGGAAAGCUCAUGAGUCAUGGUAGGUCACUUUUGACCCCAAGGAACGUAACACCUCAGCUCCAGAGUGACACGGAUUGCUGAAACGCGUGGUCAGGAGGGUGAGCUCAGCUGAGUGACACUGUGUGGUGUGGUAAGGGGCUGCGAUGACCUGAAUGCUUGUGUCCCGAAGAAUUCGAAUGCUGGACACCACCCCCAAGGUGGCAAGUGGAGGUGGGAACUGAGCAGUGGGAGGGUUAUGAGCCGAGCGCUGGGGAGGGAGAUUAAUGCUCUAUUAAAGAGGCCCAGGCAUCCCUUGUCUCUCCCACUGUGGGAGCACACAGGGAGAAAGCAGGCUCGCAGACACCAUCUGCCCACACGCUGUCUUGGACUUCCAGGCUCCAGAACUGUAAGAAACAAACUUCUGUCGUUAAUAAGCCACAGCACUUACAGAAUUCUGUUACAGCAGCCCAAACAGACUCAGGCGUGAAGAGGAGAAAGCCAUGGAAGGAGAAUUACUUUUGCUCUGUAGGCAGAUGUUCCGUGCUCUGUGUGUGAGGGGCAGAGGUGAGCAGGUAGCAGAGUCUCAAGCCUGGGAGCGUGUCAGUGACUGCUGGGGCCCAGCCCAGCGUGGGGGAAACCCCCAAGAAGCUGCAGCCCGAGUCUCCCCAGCAGCCUUCCUUCCCCUGUGAGCUCAGCCUCUGUGCCCUCUGACAGGGCUGUUUCCACCCCUCCAGACCCAAGAGGCCAUGGAGCCCUGUGCACCCUGGGGAUCGCUGUCCACCGUGGAAAACCCAAAGCAUCAACUGCAUGCCCAGUAGGUUGUGGGGACGGGGGCUGCUGGCGACCCCGUGAGCUGUGGGCCACCGCACCAAGGGCUGAAGUCGGUAACCAGGGCUCCCGGCACAGGGCCAUGGGGAAGGGAGAUGCCGCAGGUGGCAGCACAGGUAGCAGGUCUCUGGGCCUUCAGGCAACAAGCUGAAGACCUGCUUGAUGCUCAGGUGAGCCCAGGAGCCAUGGUAGGAACCGCACGUUCACCGGGGCUCAUCAAGACUCCAGGCAGCUUUAACGUCCGGAAUUUCAGACAAAGAGUGAAGUGUAAACCGGAAAUGGAAAAGGCAAAGGGGGGACAGGGAAGCAUGGGAGAAGCAGCAGCUAUAGAAAGCAAGUAACCACCCUUGAGAUGGGGUGGGGCAGGAUUAUCAGAGCUGGGGGCCGGGCCAUGCUGCGGCGUCACCUCUGACAGUAGCACGCUGGAGCUGGUGGGGAGUGUGGGUCAGCAAAGCCCCACUGAGGACCGGUACCUGCUUCUCCCGCGACAGCGCUGUCCAGACUGGAUUUCCAAACAGCGCUGAGUACCUGACCACGGACAAGCUGAUUCACCUUUUGCACCUGGGUUUCAUCUACAAGAUGUGGAUGUGAGCAUCAGCCAGAGACCACUGAGGAGCACAAGGAAUGCAGUCAACAAGUGGAACAGCACAGCUUUCAACAGAAAAGAUCUCAACCCACACGGAGGAAUGAUCUACCAAACAGGCUGCGUGGGCCUUUUGACCACGUCAAGGACAAGAACAGUUGAGAACCAUCGGAAGGAUAAAUCUGAGUCAUUUGUAGGAACACAGAUGCAACUUGACACCAUAAUGCAAACAAAAUGCAGGUGACACAGAAGGUUAACUAUCACAUGGUUUCUCUUAUAUGAAAAACCUAGAGUAUAAAUAAUUUAAAGAACAAAAUGAAAGCCAAUAGGAAACGGGGAGGUAGACCUUUUGCAUAUGGGAAGGCGACCUAGGGAUAGGAAGAGAAGGAAGGCGGGAGGGGAAGCGGAAGUAAAGAGGACUAAGGUGUGGGCUGUAUAGGUGCCAACUCCCCCAGUAAUGUAUUCAUUAUGUAUCAUAAACAUGUAUCAACAAAAGGAAAAAAAGAACGGCUCGAGAACUGCUGUAAGUUAAAAUCGAGCUAAAGAAAUACAGCCACUAAAUGACUGAUGAUAUAAAAUCAGGAUAGAAUAGUCAAACUGGACAUGACUGGGACAAGUGAUGAAAUUGCGUGUGGCCUGUGGAUUUGAUAAUAUAAUUGUAGCUGUAUUUCCUGCAUUUGACAAUUACAUAGUUGUUUCAUAAAAGAAUAUCCUUGUGCUUAUGAAAUAUACCCUAAAUAUUUAGGAAUAAAAGGACAUGUCUGUGAGCUAUUCUCAAAUGGGUCCAAAAAAAUUGUGUGCAUGAGUGUGAGUGUGUGUGUGUGUGUGUGCCUGUACUAACAAUUGGUGGCUGAGUCUGUAGCAGUUCUUUGUAUCAUCCCACUCAUGCAAGCAAAACAAUGAGCACCU